rnacentral:rRNA from 1 species
AUUGAACGCUGGCGGCAGGCCUAACGCAUGCAAGUCGAGCGGUAGAGAGGUGCUUGCAUCUCUUGAGAGCGGCGGACGGGUGAGUAAUGCCUAGGAAUCUGCCUAGUGGUGGGGGAUAACGUUCGGGAACGGACGCUAAUACCGCAUACGUCCUACGGGAGAAAGCGGGGGAUCUUCGGACCUCGCGCCAUUAGAUGAGCCUAGGUCGGAUUAGCUAGUUGGUGAGGUAAUGGCUCACCAAGGCGACGAUCCGUAACUGGUCUGAGAGGAUGAUCAGUCACACUGGAACUGAGACACGGUCCAGACUCCUACGGGAGGCAGCAGUGGGGAAUAUUGGACAAUGGGCGAAAGCCUGAUCCAGCCACGCCGCGUGUGUGAAGAAGGUCUUCGGAUUGUAAAGCACUUUAAGUUGGGAGGAAGGGUAGUAACC